rnacentral:rRNA from 1 species
GACGAACGCUGGCGGCGUGCUUAACACAUGCAAGUCGAACGGAAGGGCCCUGCUUUUGUGGGGUGCUCGAGUGGCGAACGGGUGAGUAACACGUGAGUAACCUGCCCUUGACUUUGGGAUAACUUCAGGAAACUGGGGCUAAUACCGGAUAGGAGCUCCUGCUGCAUGGUGGGGGUUGGAAAGUUUCGGCGGUUGGGGAUGGACUCGCGGCUUAUCAGCUUGUUGGUGGGGUAGUGGCUUACCAAGGCUUUGACGGGUAGCCGGCCUGAGAGGGUGACCGGCCACAUUGGGACUGAGAUACGGCCCAGACUCCUACGGGAGGCAGCAGUGGGGAAUAUUGCACAAUGGGCGGAAGCCUGAUGCAGAAACGCCGCGUGGGGGAUGACGGCCUUCGGGUUGUAAACCGCUUUCGCCUGUGACGAAGCGUGAGUGACGGUAAUGGGUAAAGAAGCACCGGCUAACUACG